rnacentral:tRNA from 1 species
GCCGAGGUGGCGGAACAGGUAGACGCGAGGGCCUUAAGAGCCCUUGAGACUUUUGUCUCGUGCGGGUUCGAUUCCCGCCUUCGGCA